GUGAGGAAUAUUGCGCAAUGGACGAAAGUCUGACGCAGCCAUGCCGCGUGAAGGAUUGACGGCCCUAUGGGUUGUAAACUUCUUUUGUAUAGGAAUAAACCCUCGUUCGUGAACGAGGCUGAAGGUACUAUAAGAAUGAGCACCGGCUAACUCCGUGCCAGCAGCCGCGGUAAUACGGAGGGUGCAAGCGUUAUCCGGAUUUAUUGGGUUUAAAGGGUCCGUAGGCGGAUCGUUAAGUCAGUGGUGAAAUCCUACCGCUCAACGGUAGAACUGCCAUUGAUACUGGCGAUCUUGAGUAUGUAUGAAGUUGGCGGAAUGUGUGGUGUAGCGGUGAAAUGCUUAGAUAUCACACAGAACACCGAUUGCGAAGGCAGCUGACUAAUACACAACUGACGCUGAGGGACGAAAGUGUGGGGAUCAAACAGGAUUAGAUACCCGUGUAGUCC
rnacentral:rRNA from 1 species